rnacentral:rRNA from 1 species
GCGAAGGUAGCAUAGUCAGUAGUCUUUUAAUUGGAGGCUUGUAUGAACGGUUGAAUGAGGGAUAAUCUGUCUCUUGCUUAUGAGUGGAAUUUAACCUUUAGGUGAAAAGGCCUAGAUUUUUUGGUGGGACGAUAAGACCCUAUAAAACUUUAUAUGAUUUGUUUAGAGUUAAGGAUUGUGUUUAAAUUAGUUUUAGCUAACUCAUAUUUCGUUGGGGAAACGUUGAUAUAAUGUUUAAUUGUCUAUAUAUUUUAAUAAUUUUAAUUAGUUUAUGGUCCUUUAUUAAAGAUUAAAAGGUUAAGUUACUUUAGGGAUAACAGCGUAAUUUUCUCUGAGAGUUCUUAUCGACGAGAGUAGUUGCGACCUCGAUGUUGAAUUAAAAUUUCAGGUUGGUGUAGCCGCUUCCCUGGUAGGUCUGUUCGACCUUUAAAAUUUUACGUGAU